UACGUAGGGUGCAGGCGUUAAUCGGAAUUACUGGGCGUAAAGCGUGCGCAGGCGGUUUCUUAAGUCAGAUGUGAAAGCCCCGGGCUUAACCUGGGAACUGCGUUUGAAACUGGGAGACUUGAGUGUGGCAGAGGGGGGUGGAAUUCCACGUGUAGCAGUGAAAUGCGUAGAUAUGUGGAGGAACACCAAUGGCGAAGGCAGCCUUCUGGGCCAACACUGACGCUCAUGCACGAAAGCGUGGGGAGCAAACAGG
rnacentral:rRNA from 1 species